rnacentral:rRNA from 1 species
AUGUUGAACCCCCUGAUUCCAGCCAUUGCACUGUCUGUUGAGGCAUUGCCGAAUGCUUUUGCUGUGUGGAACAUGUUGUCCAUGAGGUAUUCCGGUAAGGGAAACCCGAUGCUCAUGUCUCAAAUUGAAGACAAGAUCCAUGAUGUUCGUCAAGGUGAUAGACUGGUGUAUGUGAAUGAGCUGCAGCACCUUUGGGCAGAUCUGGAUCAGAGUGAUCCACUUGAACUUCCACAUGCAAAGUCCAUGGAGAUUGCCAGGAAGUGGGUCGAGCACAGGCGUGUGAUGCAGUUUCUAAAAGGCCUAGAUCAAACUUUUGAGAGUAGGCAUGCUGCGCUGCUAUAUCAGCCGACGCUUGUGUCCCAUGAUGAGGCCAUUGUUGUGAUGUCCCGAGAAGAGGUACGCCUACAGUCGAGAAGAAGAGAUGGAAAUGAAUCUGCUUACAGGAUGGCUAAUUAG